CAGUAGCCGCGGUAACACGUAGGGUGCAAGCGUUAAUCGGAAUUAUUGGGCGUAAAGCGAGUGCAGACGGUUACUUAAGCCAGAUGUGAAAUCCCCAAGCUUAACUUGGGACGUGCAUUUGAAACUGGGUGACUAGAGUGUGUCAGAGGGAGGUAGAAUUCCACAUGUAGCAGUGAAAUGCGUAGAGAUGUGGAGGAACACCGAUGGCGAAGGCAGCCCCCUGGGCCAAUACUGACGCUCAUGCACGAAAGCGUGGGGAGCAAACAGGAUUAGAUACCCCCGUAGUCCCUGUCUCUUAUAC
rnacentral:rRNA from 1 species